GAUGAACGCUGGCGGCGUGCCUAAUACAUGCAAGUCGAGCGAACAGACGAGGAGCUUGCUCCUCUGACGUUAGCGGCGGACGGGUGAGUAACACGUGGAUAACCUACCUAUAAGACUGGGAUAACUUCGGGAAACCGGAGCUAAUACCGGAUAAUAUAUUGAACCGCAUGGUUCAAUAGUGAAAGACGGUUUUGCUGUCACUUAUAGAUGGAUCCGCGCCGCAUUAGCUAGUUGGUAAGGUAACGGCUUACCAAGGCAACGAUGCGUAGCCGACCUGAGAGGGUGAUCGGCCACACUGGAACUGAGACACGGUCCAGACUCCAACGGGAGGCAGCAGUAGGGAAUCUUCCGCAAAGGGCGAAAGCCUGACGGAGCAACGCCGCGUGAUUGAUGAAGGUCUUCGGAUCGUAAAACUCUGUUAUUAGGGAAGAACAAAUGUGUAAGUAACUAUGCACGUCUUGACGGUACCUAAUCAGAAAGCCACGGCUAACUACGUG
rnacentral:rRNA from 1 species